rnacentral:rRNA from 1 species
UGGGGAAUAUUGCACAAUGGAGGGAACUCUGAUGCAGCGACGCCGCGUGAACGAAGAAGGCUUUCGAGUCGUAAAGUUCUUUUAUAUGGGAAGAUAAUGACGGUACCAUAAGAAAAAGACCCGGCUAACUACGUGCCAGCAGCCGCGGUAAUACGUAGGGGGCUAGCGUUGUCCGGAAUCACUGGGCGUAAAGGGUUCGCAGGCGGAACUGCAAGUCAGGUGUAAAAGGCAGUAGCUUAACUACUGUAAGCAUUUGAAACUGCAUAUCUUGAGAAGAGUAGAGGUAAGUGCAAUUUUUAGUGUAGCGGUGAAAUGCGUAGAUAUUAAAAAGAAUACCGGUGGCGAAGACGGCUUACUGGGCUCAUUCUGACGCUGAGGAACGAAAGCGUGGGUAGCAAACAGG